rnacentral:rRNA from 1 species
CCUACGGGAGACAGCAGUGAGGAAUAUUGGUCAAUGGACGAGAGUCUGAACCAGCCAAGUAGCGUGAAGGAUGACUGCCCUAUGGGUUGUAAACUUCUUUUAUAAAGGAAUAAAACGAGGCACGUGUGCCUUUUUGCAUGUACUUUAUGAAUAAGGAUCGGCUAACUCCGUGCCAGCAGCCGCGGUAAUACGGAGGAUCCGAGCGUUAUCCGGAUUUAUUGGGUUUAAAGGGAGCGUAGAUGGGUUGUUAAGUCAGUUGUGAAAGUUUGCGGCUCAACCGUAAAAUUGCAAUUGAUACUGGUAGUCUUGAGUACAGUUGAGGUAAGCGGAAUUCGUGGUGUAGCGGUGAAAUGCUUAGAUAUCACGAAGAACCCCGAUUGCGAAGGCAGCUUACUAAACUGUGACUGACAUUGAUGCUCGAAAGUGUGGGUAUCAAACAGGAUUAGAUACCCCUGUAGUC